rnacentral:rRNA from 1 species
GAUGAACGCUGGCGGCGUGCCUAAUACAUGCAAGUCGAGCGAACGGACGAUAAUCUUGCUUCUCUGAUUUUAGCGGCUGACGUGUUAGUAACACGUGUAUAACCUACCUAUAUUACUUGUAUAUCUUCUGGAAACCGGAUCUAAUACCGGUUAAUCUUUUGUACCUCAUUGUUCAUAAGUUAAAUACGUUCUUUCUUUCACUUAUCGCUGGAUCCUCGCUGCAUUAGCUAGUUGGUAAGGUAACGGCUUACCAAGGCAACGAUGCAUAGCCGACGUGAGAGGGGGAUCGGCAACACGGGAACUGAGAAACGGAACAGACUCCUACGGGAGGCAGAAGUAGGGAAUAUUCCGAAAUGGGCGAAAGCAUGACGGAGCAAAGCCGCGUGAGUGAUGAAGGUCUUAGGAGCGUAAAACUCUGUUAUUAGGGAAGAAAAGAUGUGUAAGAAAAUGUGAACAGAGUGACGGUAACUAAUCAGAAAGAAACGGCUAACUACGUG